rnacentral:tRNA from 1 species
GCCUUCGUGGUGUAGUGGUCUGCACGCUCGACUCGUAACCGAGAAUUCCGUGGUUUGAUUCCCGGCGAAGGCA